GACCCAAGAUUACAUGACUGCAUUCCAGCCUGGGCAAUGGGAAUGAAACCCUGUCUCAAAAAAACAAAAGCAACAACAGAAACCGCCCCCCACCAAAAAAAAAAUAGCCAGGCGUGGUGGUGCAUAUUUACAGUUCCAGCUACUGGGGAGGCUGAGUUGGGACGAUUGCUUGAGCCCAGGAGGUCGAGGCUGCAGUGAGCUAUGAUCCCACUACUGCACUCCAGCCUGAGUGACAGAGCAAGACCCUGUCUCAAAAAAAAGAAACAGGCUGGGAGCGGUGGCUCACACCUGUAAUCCCAGCACUCUGGCAGGCCGAGGCGGGUGGAUCAUGAGGUC
rnacentral:lncRNA from 1 species